rnacentral:rRNA from 1 species
CCUACGGGAGGCUGCAGUGAGGAAUAUUGGUCAAUGGCCGAGAGGCUGAACCAGCCAAGUCGCGUGAGGGAAGAAUGUCCUAAGGAUUGUAAACCUCUUUUGUCGGGGAGCAAAAAGGCUCUGCGGAGUCGUAUUGAGAGUACCCGAAGAAAAAGCAUCGGCUAACUCCGUGCCAGCAGCCGCGGUAAUACGGAGGAUGCGAGCGUUAUCCGGAUUUAUUGGGUUUAAAGGGUGCGCAGGCGGCGUGUCAAGCAAGCGGUAAAAUAGCGGGGCUCAACCCCGUCGAGCCGUUGAAACUGAUGAUCUUGAGUGGGCGAGAAGUAUGCGGAAUGCGUGGUGUAGCGGUGAAAUGCAUAGAUAUCACGCAGAACUCCGAUUGCGAAGGCAGCAUACCGGCGCCCGACUGACGCUGAAGCACGAAAGCGUGGGUAUCGAACAGGAUUAGAUACCCGUGUAGUC